rnacentral:rRNA from 1 species
CCCAGACUCCUACGGGAGGCAGCAGUGGGGAAUAUUGGGCAAUGGGCGCAAGCCUGACCCAGCAACGCCGCGUGAAGGAAGAAGGCUUUCGGGUUGUAAACUUCUUUUAAGAGGGAAGAGUAGAAGACGGUACCUCUUGAAUAAGCCACGGCUAACUACGUGCCAGCAGCCGCGGUAAUACGUAGGUGGCAAGCGUUGUCCGGAUUUACUGGGUGUAAAGGGCGCGUAGCCGGGCUGACAAGUCAGAUGUGAAAUCCGGGGGCUCAACCCGGGCCGGCCGUUGAAACUGGGGAUCUUGAGUGGGCGAGAAGUAUGCGGGAUGCGUGGUGUAGCGGUGAAAUGCAUAGAUAUCACGCAGAACUCCGAUUGCGAAGGCAGCAUACCGGCGCCCGACUGACGCUGAGGCACGAAAGCGUGGGGAUCGAACAGGAUUAGAUACCCGAGUAG